rnacentral:rRNA from 1 species
GACGAACCGUCCUAACGUUGUUCGGAAUCACUGGGCUUAAAGGGCGCGUAGGCGGUCGGCAAAGUCAGGGGUGAAAUCUUUCGGCUUAACCGGAAAAGUGCCUUUGAAACUAGUCGACUCGAGCGAGAUAGGGGCAUGUGGAACUUCCGGUGGAGCGGUGAAAUGCGUUGAUAUCGGAAGGAACGCCGGUGGCGAAAGCGACAUGCUGGAUCUCUUCUGACGCUGAGGCGCGAAAGCCAGGGGAGCAAACGGG